UCGAUUCGGGAGCUCGAACAGGCGUCAGAAUCGCAUCUGUCUUUAGAAGCAUGUGAUCGGAUGUUUUCUUAGGUCUCGUUCUCAGCUGUGUCAACAGCUAUAUGCAGCAGUGUUUCUUUACAGUGGAUAAGGACUUGUGCCGAUUCAAAGGCAGGCAGAGGCUUCCAGCCACAGGAUUCUCAGGCAUCCGUCUCUGUGGUUCUUGGAAAAAGUUGUUCCAUUAGCAUCUUUUUCCUCCAGGGUCAUCUGAGCCCGGCAGGCUCGCCUUGGGUCCCUCCUCGGUCAUCUCGUUCAGCAUUCUCUCAGUCCUCAUGAGGACUUUCUUGUCUCAGAGUUUUCUCUCCCUGUCAUGUCCCCUCGUGUCACAGGUGUCUGGGGGUAUUUGGUCCGGAGCUGCUCUGCCCUGGCGCCCAGCCCGGUUGUAGGUGUUUAAGGACAAGUCCCGGGCACUUGUAAUUGGAGAUCCGUAAUACGGGCCGUAGUUGGAGUCUAGGUGGUAUUCUUAUGUUGGCAGCAGGUGUCUGGAGCUGUGAAGUUACCCUGCAGCACUUUGACUUUUUUCCUAACUUUCUUUCAGAUGCAGACGGAUUGACCUCCUGGCAGAGCAUCUGUCCCAGAUGAGGAGAUCCCCCUGAGAAGGAAGUAAAGCUGGAAAGCAGCGGGGAAGGCGAAGCAGGUGGAAGGCUGCCUCCUGAUGCUGUGCUGAGGCCCCCUCACUGACCUGUCAAGAGACCCAGUUUGCUUCUCUGGUGAGCCCCAGCAAAUAUUACCAGAGUCCG